rnacentral:ribozyme from 14 species
AAAAAUUGGAGAAGAAAAAAAAAGAAAAAGAAGGAUCGAGGAAGGGUUGUCUUCUGAUCUUAUUCCUCAUCAUCUUCGUCUCCUUCAUCUUCGUCUCCUUCAUCAUCUCCUUCGUCAUCUUGAUCAGCA